rnacentral:lncRNA from 1 species
UUUUUUUUUUUUGGGUAAAGUUCCACUUGUGUUGCAUGGUUGGAACUUUCAUCGUUUUUAACACUGUUUUUUUAAAUAUAAAGUUUUGCAACAAACCCCCAAUUUAUAUCAAAUAUAAUUAAAAAUUAACAACUGAUGAAUACAUUGUAUCAAAAAAGUACGAAGAUAAACAUUUUCCAUGCACAUACUUUUUAUAGAUAUGUAUAUAUGUAUAUAUUUUACAUGCAAACAUUACUUAGUCAAAGUACAGCCACUACGAGACUGGUUUCUGGAUGCAGAAAACUGAUUGGUGCAAUUCAAGUUUGGCAACUCACUAUGAGGAUUCUUGGAAAUAUCAUGUAUGCAUUGAAGAGACAGCAGAGAGGCUGUAAAAAAAGGGGGGAAAAGGGUUAUGAACAACUGUGGUCAGGCUUGUCUGUCACUGGCAUCGACCCCUACGAGGCAGGUGGAGGAUUGGACAACUUGAGGUCCUUCUUCAUGUUCUACCUAAGAACUGGAGUGACCCAAGGCCAUGGGUUUUGGCUGUGCACUUCCAGAUGGUGUGUUAGUGUAGGACUGGGGGUGCGAGUGUCUAAAAUGGUAGAGGAAGGGGAAAGACAAAGUUAUUCCAUACAGAAAGACACCUCUUUUGCUUUCCGGUUUGGGUACAAUGUUUGCAUGCACUGGCAGAGAGAUUGUGGUUUCCCUCUCCUUUACUUCCUGGAGUAAAAUAGGAACAUUUUCAUUAAAAUCCCAAAUAAAGUGUUUGUGCCUUCUUAUAAGGAAAAUGUAUAAAACAUUUGGUCACAAUCAUGCUGAAGCCUGAAACAGGAAAAUCCAGCAGAUAAAGCUACAGAAUGGAUGAAGGUCUUUCAGACUGUUGGUGGUUUGGAUGUGUUUCUGAACGUGUCAUCUUGUUGCAUAGCCCUCCGUUUGCAAAUCACAGCUGUUACCCACGGCAGCCCUCUGGCUAUUGCACUUCCUUUAUUCAAAGUGCACACAAAUACAGAGACAGAGAUAUAGACAGGAGUUACCCUUUAGCAGAAUCCAGGGAUGAGAUUAGCCAGAGAUUAUUAAUUAGUAACGGAACAAAACAAAACAGAAAACCACAGAAGGAAACAAAACCAGGUUGAAUUUCCUCAACAGAAGAGCUACAGGAGAUGUGAAGAACCACCCUACAGCAGACUGCUUGAGGCUGAAACACUUGCUGAGAGCAUGAGAGCAUUGUGGUAGC